rnacentral:rRNA from 1 species
GGGGAAUAUUGCACAAUGGGCGAAAGCCUGAUGCAGCAACGCCGCGUGAGUGAAGAAGGUUUUCGGAUUGUAAAGCUCUGUCAUCUGGGACGAUAAUGACGGUACCAGAUGAGGAAGCCACAGCUAACUACGUGCCAGCAGCCGCGGUAAUACGUAGGUGGCAAGCGUCGUCCGGAAUUACUGGGCGUAAAGGGUGCGCAGGCGGACAUUUAAGUGAGAUGUGAAAGACCCGGGCUUAACUUGGGCAGUGCAUUUCAAACUGGAUGUCUGGAGUGCAGGAGAGGAGAACGGAAUUCCUAGUGUAGCGGUGAAAUGCGUAGAGAUUAGGAAGAACACCAGUGGCGAAGGCGGUUCUCUGGGCUGUAACUGACGCUGAGGCGCGAAAGCGUGGGGAGCAAAC